rnacentral:rRNA from 1 species
GACGAACGCUGGCGGCGUGCUUAACACAUGCAAGUCGAACGGAAAGGCCCCUUUGGGGGUACUCGAGUGGCGAACGGGUGAGUAACACGUGAGUAACCUGCCCUUGACUUCGGGAUAACUUCAGGAAACUGGGGCUAAUACCGGAUAGGAAUCCUUGCUGCAUGGUGGGGGUUGGAAAGCUUCGGCGGUUUUGGAUGGACUCGCGGCUUAUCAGCUUGUUGGUGGGGUAGUGGCUUACCAAGGCUUUGACGGGUAGCCGGCCUGAGAGGGCGACCGGCCACAUUGGGACUGAGAUACGGCCCAGACUCCUACGGGAGGCAGCAGUGGGGAAUAUUGCACAAUGGGCGGAAGCCUGAUGCAGCAACGCCGCGUGCGGGAUGACGGCCUUCGGGUUGUAAACCGCUUUAAGCAGGGGCGAAGCUUGUGGUGACGGUACCUGCAGAAGAAGCACCGGCUAACUACGUG